UACCGCAUACGUCCUACGGGAGAAAGCAGGGGACCUUCGGGCCUUGCGCUAUCAGAUGAGCCUAGGUCGGAUUAGCUAGUUGGUGAGGUAAUGGCUCACCAAGGCGACGAUCCGUAACUGGUCUGAGAGGAUGAUCAGUCACACUGGAACUGAGACACGGUCCAGACUCCUACGGGAGGCAGCAGUGGGGAAUAUUGGACAAUGGGCGAAAGCCUGAUCCAGCCAUGCCGCGUGUGUGAAGAAGGUCUUCGGAUUGUAAAGCACUUUAAGUUGGGAGGAAGGGCAGUAAGCUAAUACCUUGCUGUUUUGACGUUACCGACAGAAUAAGCACCGGCUAACUCUGUGCCAGCAGCCGCGGUAAUACAGAGGGUGCAAGCGUUAAUCGGAAUUACUGGGCGUAAAGCGCGCGUAGGUGGUUCGUUAAGUUGGAUGUGAAAGCCCCGGGCUCAACCUGGGAACUGCAUCCAAAACUGGCGAGCUAGAGUAUGGUAGAGGGUGGUGGAAUUUCCUGUGUAGCGGUGAAAUGCGUAGAUAUAGGAAGGAACACCAGUGGCGAAGGCGACCACCUGGACUGAUACUGACACU
rnacentral:rRNA from 1 species